AGCGCUGGUGGCAGUGUUUCUGCGCAGAGCCCUGGAGCUGAGGGGAGGGCACAGACGUGCUGCCCCAGGAACUCCGGUCUGAAGGGCCAGGUGCGAGGCCUCUGGAUGCGGCACCCUAAGAACAAGGGAAACUACAUGAAACACAAAGGAAGAGAUAUCAUCCUGCAAGCCUUGGUUCUGGAAUUCUGAGGCUUUGGAACAUGAUGACUCCAUCGUCACUUUUCUGGAUUUAUCAGUAUAUGUGCCGUGGUUGGCUACUGUGAAUUUAGUGACUGGCAUGCAAUAUGGAGGCCAAACCGGGCUCAAGAAUGACUGGAAACAAGCCCAGAGGGAAGGACGCCACAGAAGUCCCUUUUCUUCUGAGCCAUGUGGCUGACAGGGCCUUGGUGCUCUGGCCGGGUGUCAGGCCUGUGCCUUUGAGGUGGGAGAGCCAAGUUCAGGACACUGGUCCACCAGAGACCUCCCAGCUCCACAUAAUAUCAGUCCGCGAAAGCUCUCACAGAGAUCUCCAUCUCAACGCUGAGACCCAGCUCAACUCAAUGAACAGCAAGCUACAGUGCUGGACACCCCAUGCCAAACAACUAGCAAGACAGGAAAACAACCCCACCCAUUAGCAGAGAGGCUGCCUAAAAUCAUAAUAAGGUCACAGACACCCCAAACACACCACUGGACAUAGUCCUGCCCACCAGAAAAACAAGAUCCAGCCUCAUCCACCAGAACACAGGCACCAGUCUCCUGCACCCGGAAGCCUACACAACCCACUGAAUCAAUCUUAGCCACUGGGGGCAACACCAAAAACAAUUGGAACUGUGAACCUGCAGCCUGUGAAAAGGAGACCCAAAACACAGUAAGUUAAGCAAAAUGAGAAGACAGAGAAACACACAGCAGAUGAAGGAGCAAGGUAAAAACCCACCAGACCAAACUAAUGAGAGGAAA